AAUUGCCUAUAUAUAUAUAGCACAUCUUGUGAUAAAAAAAGCUGUUUACUUUUUUCUGUAAAGUUUUGGGUAGCUGGUGUUUUAUCCACUCAUGUUGGGAAAUCUGAGUUCACCUCAUGCGGCUAUCCCUGGACUUAAACUGUUCUGGAAAGAGAAGUAAGGUGCAUUGUGUUCGGUGAGGUCACGCUGUCUGCUCUUCCCCUAUGCUUGUAAUGGGUGUUGUUCUCAAGAUUCUUUUGGACCGUAUGGAGAAAAGUAAGACCUCUCAGUUUACAUUGUGAAAAGAAAGGAGACUGAGCGCUUCUAGUCUCGGCUUUGCUAGGUAUUUACUGUCUCAUUGCAUUCAGUGCUUAACACAGAGGCCAUUCUGUGUUUAUCUCGGCCCCCACUAUAACAUGAGCUCUGGAAGGCCCAGAACAGAAGGUUCUUGUUCAUUUGUGUCUUUGGUACUGAGCACACCAUCCUAGGCCCAUAUUCAAAUGUUUUUAUUAAAUAAUGUGAUUUAAUACAGUCCUCAGUAUAAAUACAUGUUUUUGGAAGGCUGGGUUCACUUACCAAGUUCACCUACCAAAACCCACAAGGAUGUUUGAUGACAGCUGCUGUGAUUGAAGGCCUUAGGUUUGCUACUCCUAUUCCUUUGAUGUAGAAUGAUAGAUAGGGAGAGAGCAUCUCAGGUGCCAACUCCCAGCAUUUUAUGGAUUUAUCUGUGUAUUGACUAAAAUUGUGGUGGAUGAGUGAAUACCGAUUAUACAAAAUAUGUCACAAAGGGCAUCCAUCCAGCUUAUGUCCUUUAUUUAUUUAUUUAUUUGUUUAUUUUUAAGGAUUUUAUUUAUUUGAGGGGCCCCUGGGUGGCUCAGUGGGUUAAGCCUUUGUCUUCAGCUCAGAUCAUGAUCUCAGGGUCCUGGGAUCGAGCCCCGCAUCAGGCUCUCUCAAAUAAAUAAAAUCUUUGCCUACUUGUGAUCAACCUUUCUCCCUCAAAAUCUUUUUUUUUUUUUUUAAGAUUUUACUUAUUUAUUUGACAGAGAUCACAAGUAGGCAGAGAGGCAGAGAGGCAGAGCAAGGAAGGGAAGCAGGCUCCCUGCUGAGCAGAGAGCCGGAUGUGGGGCUUGAUCCCACAUUUAAAAAAUUUUUUUUUUUUUUAAGGAUUUUAUUUAUUUGACACAGAGAGAGAGAGAGGGGUCACAAGUACACAGAGAUGCAGGCAGUGGUGGGCGGAAAGAGGCUCCUUGCUGAGCAGAAACCCUGAUGUGGGGCUUGAUCCCAGGACCCUGAGACUCUGAGACCAUGACCCGAGCUGAAGGCAGAGCCUCAACCCAGGUGUCCCUAAAGGUUAUUUUAAAACUCAAAAAGUGGAAUACUGUUUAGUCUAUUGUAUUCUGUGGCAAUACGAUUCCCUUAAAAGCUUAGUGGGUUUCUAACCAAGUUGUGCUGCCAGUUCAUGUGUCAGUAUCCACUUCUAAAAUUUUUUUACUAGACACACCUCUCAAGAAUGAUUACAUGCUUGUUUUUUCACUGCAUCUGUGUAACAGUAGCUACUUGAGUCCGUUAGAGCCGCAGGCUCUCGUGGGAAGCCCGCAUCCUUCAUCUCUGCUUCUGGGGUGAGUUGGAGCCCUUGUUGCUCAGAGCCUUUUUCAGUCUUACAUCUCUUACUGUUUGGGGUUUAGAAAUAGCUUUCCCAGACUUUGGAGUCCCAAAUUUCUGAACGAUACCCCUUGCCUUGCCUUUUUUUUUUUAAAUUUUUUUAUUUGACAGAGAUCACAAGUAGGCAGAGAGGCAGGCAGAGAGAGAGAGAGAGGAGGAAGCAGGCUCCCUGCUGAGCAGAGAGCCCGAUGUGGGACUCCAUCCCAGAACCCUGAGAUCAUGACCUGAGCCGAAGGCAGCGGCUUAACCCACUGAGCCACCCAGGCGCCCUUUUUUUUUUUUUUUUUUUUUAAAGGAUUUUAUUUACUUGACAGAGCAAGAGAGAGAGCACAAGCAGGAGGAGCAGAAGGCAGAGGGAGAGGGAGCAGACUCCCUGCCGAACAAGGAGCCCGAUGUGGAGCUCAAUCCUAUGGCCCUGGGAUCAUGACCUGAGCUGAAGGCAGAUGCUUAACUGACUUGAGCCACCCAGGUGCCCUUCCCCUUUCAUUACUGUGUGCAGACAGACCAGUUCUUUCUUGAACACGCCAGCAAUAAUUCUUGGAAGGGGAAGAUAAGAGCCAACAUGCAGUAUAUCCGUCUGGUUCUUCCCAAACACUUGCAGAGCUUCCACGGCCUUGCCCUUCAUGUUACCGCGGGAACCAGCUUUACUGCAUGAUUUGCCACGUGCGACGUGGCUUUCCAUCUCUUCAGCUUCGACUCCCAAUUUACUCACCGCCCACUAACCCAGUGUCAUCUACUUUACAUUUUUUUUUUUCUGGGGAAGUACCCACUUCUAGAUCCUAAGUUUUGACUUAAUUAACAAAUACUUGCAUCGACAACAAACCCUAAAUAUAUAAUAGCUCAAGGACAAUCGACUUAUUUUUUUUUUAAACUCAUGCAAAGUCUACAAUGAAGUUGUUCUGGUUCGCAGGGGCUUUCCUCCAAGUGGAAGUUCCAUGAUCCAGGCUCUUUAGGUCUUACUGCUUUGCCAUCUCAGCCACUCUUCAGUGAAGGCAUGGAGAACACAGACUCCGGGACAGACACAGAUAUCACCGCCCCAGCUCAAUGGCCACUUCUGGGAACCUCUGCCUAUGCUAGUGUUCAUUCCACAGCCCUGCAUGAUACUCUUAAAGAAUGCCUUUUAUUUAUACCUUUUAAGUCAGGGGAGCAAAGCUGCUUCAUUUAGGAAAAAAAAACCCUUCUAAUCUCCUGAUUUAAUAAAGUAAUUCUGCUGA